AUUUGUCAUGUAGAUCUCUUGGCAUUUUUUUAAAGGGUAGAUUAAUUUAGGGGAGCUCUCGGAUCCAAUUUCCCCCGGCAAUGGCUCUAUUAGGCUGUGCACAGCAGAUACAGGCUCCCGUCCUCCUGCUGCUACUGAUGGAAUUUGAUUCCGCGCUGCCAAAUCUGCAGGGCUGCAAACACAUUCCCACUCCUGAUUAAUCCCCGUCCCCCGGGCUGCUGUGGGACCCGAGAUGCCUGCACGGCUCUCCGAGUGGUUUUGGAGAGGCAGAACCAGUUGCCCCGCGGGGACACGACUCCCACAGCGACGCUGCCUAUUCCCAAGCGCCACCUGAUGGCAUCGCCGCCAGGAAGGAUUUGUUCGACAAUGUUUAUACCGGCACAGACGCAAGAAUCACCUCCGACAGCAGGGAGGGUGGAAAUGAGAAACGGAGCCGCUGAGAGCAGCCCUGGCUCAGGACCCUGCCCUGUGUCCAUCCUCGGGAUGGGGCAGAGCAAAGCUGAGCUCAGGGGAUGCACACCACGGCUCCCCUCUUCUUCUCAAGCCCAUCAAAGUUCUUCCAAGCUACCCAGGAGGCAGGGAGAUCCUGCUAGCCCUGGCUGGAGGAUCCCCACAACUCCCCCCUUUUUAAUUCUCCUGGAUGUGCCUGAGAAAACAGCUCUGUGUUUACAAACGUGAGAAGGAAUCGCACAGAAAUCCCGGGAGCAGCAAGUCCCGACACCUCCCACACGGCAACGCGAGAGAAGCCACUUUCCUCUGCCACCAGACGAGGGGCUUUGUCACACCAGUGUCACCCCCACCUCCCUCUGCCUCCCCAGAGGUGCCACCCAGACGUUUGGGGGGACCCUCUGUCUGCAACAGCCACGCAGAGGUCGGACACACUCCAGCCAAAGGAGAGGGUCUCCCCGGAAUCAGCAAACACAACCGGGGCUCACACAACCAGCAACAGUGCCUGGAAGAGACAUCCUUGGGCCAGGCCUCCCCCUCCCCUCUCCCCAGACCAGUUCAGGGCAGGGGACACGGGUGAGAUUAACGCAGGGCUGGGGCAGAGUCGCCUUUGAGCACAAAGCCCUUGGAGGGGGGAGCUUAACUCUGCCACGGCCCUGCUCCACCGCUCCCCCCCGCCCUCCCCUCCCUCCUCUGGGAGCGCCGGGCUCUGACACUUGUCAGGGAAAAGCGGCCGUUCGGGAGAGCCCCCGGCUGCCUCCCGUGAGCCGGGCAGGGCCGUGCCGGCUCCCCAGGGAUGGUUCUUGCCAGCCGGGAUCCCCGCUCAGCCUCUGGCACGAGCCAACCCGCCCGUGCCCCGGCUCCCGAGCCCACCCACCCCGCGGGGACCACCCUGUCCCCAGGUCCCGCUUAAACCUCCGCUCCCGGUUUUAGCGGGGAGCACCAGGACCCCCAAGGCGGAGGCACCGGGAUGGAGAGGCUGCGGCGAAGCGUUUGUGCUGGGAGGGAUGGGGAGAGGACGCAGGGGGAGGGGAGGUGGCGGUGGUGGGAACGGGGCGGGAGGGGGGGGAUGAAUCAUUUCGAGCGAGCCAGAUUUCCAUAUUCCCCCUGCUGGAAAAUUAAAGUCUGCUCCGAGUUUGCAUCCCAAAUGUGAUUGCUUUCGGAUCCCUGCCUUGGAAAGCACGUACCUCUCUCAGCAGCCGGCCCUGCCGGGAU